ACUUUGUCAUCAAAUGUUUGUAAUGAUCAGAAUGUCUCAUUAGAGUGUAUAGAUGCUCCAGUGACAAGUAUAUCUCUUCUUAACUUUGUUAAAUGCAUCUUUAUCCAAGCAUUAUGAUUCAAUGACAGAGAGACAUCCCCAAUUUUCCAUACCCCAUUUUUUGGCUCAUACAUUAUUUAUGAUUUUCAUUUGUCAUAUUUAUUUCUUGACAUGAGGCAGCUAAAAACCUUUUUCACUUGUUAGUUCCAAGUAUUGUUCUUUGUUU
rnacentral:lncRNA from 1 species